rnacentral:rRNA from 1 species
CUGGCUCAGGAUAAACGCUGGCGGCGUGCCUAACCCAUGCAAGUCGGACGAUCCCGCAAGGGAGAGUGGCGGAAGGGUGAGUAACACGUAGAAAUCUACCUCGUCGGAGGGAAUAACCCCGCGAAAGCGGGGCUAAUACCCAAGAAGAUCUGCAAAGAUCAGAGUCCGCAAGGGCCCGGCGAGAGGAGUCUGCGGCCCAUCAGCUCGUUGGUGGGGUAAUAGCCUACCAAGGCUACGACGGGUAGGGGGUCUGAGAGGAUCGUCCCCCCACACUGGAACUGAAACACGGUCCAGACGCCUACGGGUGGCAGCAGGGAGGAAUAUUGGACAAGUGGGGGAAACCCCAUCCAGCAACGCCGCGUGAGGGAAGAAGGCCUUUCGGGGUUGUAAACCUCUUUUAAGGGGAGACGAGAAAGGACGGUAUCCCUUGAAUAAGUCACGGGCUAACUACGUGCCCAG